CUGCCCUUAUGAAUGGAUUAGUAUCAUUAUUGCAGGAGUGGCUUCAUGAUGGAGAGAGUGGAUUUGUCAUGAAAGUGAGUUCGGCCAUUCCUUGCUGUCUCACGUGCCACCUCUUGCCAUGGGAUGCCCUCGCCAUGGGAUGACAGCAAGAAGGCCCUUGCUUGAGUGAGCCCCUCCAUCUUCGGCUCUCCGGCCUCCAGGACUGUUAGAAAUACAUCUCUGUUCUUUGUAAAUUACCCAGGCUGUAGUACUCUGUUAUAGCAACACAAAACAGACUAAGACACUACUAUGUAGAUGAAGAAACAGGCCCAAGAGGUGAGGAGUGUUGUCCAGGUCUUCUGGCCAGAGGAGCGGCAGAGAUGGGAUUUCAACCCUGGGACUGUGUGGCUUGUGACCACUCCUAGCUUCAGCCCUGCCCGGUGCUGAGGGGUUUGGGGCCAGAACGAUGGCCAGAUGUUUGGGCACACUGGGCCCUACCCACCUGGAAAGAGGCUGGCCUGGGGUUGAAUGAGAACCAGAAGUGACUCAGGCUAGGACCCCUCUGCACCCUCCCUCAGGCCGUGGGUAAUUACCUGCCCAGGUUAAUAGCGCCCACUUCCCGCCACCUUUCAUCAAGGCUCCUGGAGCUGCCAGGCAGUAAUUAACCCUCACAGCACCCUUCUGAAGUCAGCACUGGAGGCAGACGUGUGAUGAAACACGUUUAUUACAGGAAGCACCAGUUAGCCCAGAUGCUUCUCAUCUUUGGAGUUGAGCUGCAGGCUGGAGACCUGGAAGGCCCUCGCAGCGCCUGCUCCCAUCCUCUCACCUCACGAAAGCGCAGGAAUCUCCAUGAGGGCAGGGGAUUUUGUCUGUUUCAUUCACAAUGUGUUCCCAGAGCUCAGCACAGUGUCAGGCACACACUAGGUAACAGCACCUCGACUUCCUACUGAAGAACCCCCUCUUCCCUUUUCUCAGUCCAUGAGGCUGGGGGUGCCCAGAGGCCUCUGUCUCCAGGGGUGGA
rnacentral:lncRNA from 1 species